rnacentral:rRNA from 1 species
UACGUAGGGUGCGAGCGUUGUCCGGAAUUACUGGGCGUAGAGAGCUCGUAGGUGGUUUGUCACGUCGUCUGUGAAAUUCCGGGGCUUAACCUCGGGCGUGCAGGCGAUACGGGCAAUACUUGAGUGCUGUAGGGGAGACUGGAAUUCCUGGUGUAGCGGUGAAAUGCGCAGAUAUCAGGAGGAACACCAAUGGCGAAGGCAGGUCUCUGGGCAGUUACUGACGCUGAGGAGCGAAAGCAUGGGUAGCGAACAGGAUUA